rnacentral:tRNA from 2 species
GGGGGAAUAGUGUAGGGGUUAUCGCGUCCGCUUUGCAUGCGGAAGGUCCGGGGUUCAAUUCCCCGUUCCUCCA